rnacentral:rRNA from 1 species
GACGAACCGAGCGAACGUUGUUCGGAAUCACUGGGCUUAAAGGGCGCGUAGGCGGGUGCUCAAGUCCGUGGUGAAAUCCUCCGGCUCAACCGGAGAACUGCCUCGGAUACUGGGUGCCUCGAGGGUGGUAGGGGUAUGCGGAACUAUCGGUGGAGCGGUGAAAUGCGUUGAUAUCGAUAGGAACUCCGGUGGCGAAGGUGGCAUACUGGACCACCUCUGACGCUGAGGCGCGAAAGCCAGGGGAGCAAACGGGG